GGCAGAACAACAGAUUUGUACCUUGUCAACUCAGGGAUUUGAGCUUGCAACCUUUCGGUUAUUAAUCCAAUUCUCUAACCACUAGGCUACGCUGCCGCCCCGGCCAGAGGAAGAGCUGUCAUUCAUUGAAGAGGAACCCUGUCUGGAUGGAUGGUGGAAGUUUGGCACCAGCUGUUAUUAUGUCUCCUCCAGGAUGGAAACAGCUGGGGGCAGUCAGAGAAAGUGCAGAACAAUGUGUGCUGCCUUGGUUAUUAUAAACAGCAGAGAAGAACAGCUAUUGGAUGGAAGGGGAACCAAAUAACUUGAAUGACAAGGUGGCUUGUGUUGAGAUCUCACAGACGGCAUCAGACCCAUUGAAGAAUUGGAAGGAUGGACCAUGUGCUCCUCGAAAAUACUGUGUGUGUGAAAAACCAUUCACACUGUAGUCCAAUUGCAAUAGCAAAUGUAAUUCCCUAUCUUAUAGAGUUGAACUGGUUUUCACUGUGUUAGGCUGAACCUCUUUUUGUUUCUAUUUGUAACUACAUUGAAAGACGUAUUUGAUGUCUUUAAAGAGACCAUGUCUAUGUGGAGUUUGUCCACCAUUCAUCAGGCCCAGGGGAGUGGAACUGUGGAUUCAUAGUCUCUAACUGUGGUUUACAUAUUAUUAUUUUUUACCAUAAUUUACUAUUAUGUUUUUUAAAUGUACCAUUGUGGUGUGCAUAUAAAAAAAUAUCAUUGAAGUUUUUACAGUUAUCAACCCAUUUCAAAUGCAGCAGUGUUCUAUAUUUGUGUCCAUUCUGUUCCAUAUGUAUCAUGUGUUCAUUCUACUGACUAAAUACAUCUAUAUACUGUGAUCCAGAUAUACUGUAUUACUAAGUGUUGUAAUGUACUAAUAGUAACU
rnacentral:lncRNA from 1 species